GUCAAGUCGCUCACCAUAAGGAAGAAUGGAGAGAAGGGAUAUUUUAAGAUUUGUUUUCUAGUGCUGCGAAUGAUCUCAGGUGGGAAAAUGCUUGCCUUACAUGCAAGAAUUCCUGGCUUCAAUCUCUGCACUUCAUGAAUAGUCCCAGAACCACAGAAGUCCAUAAAGUUCCUGCAGCAGCUUGCCGCCUCAGGCCAGUUGGCGAGACUGGCUGUUUCUUCAGGAUUGAACUACAGCUGCUGUUUCGUGCCUACUGUUUGCCUUCUGAAAGGACUGGACUGAAGCUGUUGUACCUGGUGUUUGCCUGCCUAGAGGACUGGUCUGCCAGUGCUGAGUCACAUUUGGUGUUUUCUAUGGGACUUACAUAUGCCAGUUCAGGAAGGCUAAGGUCUGCUAUGCGGUGCUAAGAUGGGGAAGGGGGCAUCUAAGAUAACACCAAAUUCAAAAAUCAGACAGUGCAGCACAUGUACUCAAAGAUAAAUAAUAGUACAAAAGGAAAAUAUAUCAGCACCAAACCAAAUGAGAAAUCUAAGGUAUCUAGUCAUCCUACAAAGAAGAAGAGAGGAGAAAUGGCAAAAUGUACAUCAGAGAGAAAGCCUCCGUCUAGAACUAUCACAAGUGCAUCGAAAGCCAAGAGGGGAAGGUCCCAAAAAUCCAGCCAACAACACCCAGAGAGAAAUUAAUCUUAUACAACCAAGAGACAGAGGAAGACUUCACCACCUCUGGGGGUGGGGGGAGAAGUAGAUAAAAAGCUACUUGGGCUAGGUCAGACUUUAAGAAAAUAAACAUCUGGUUAACUAUGA
rnacentral:lncRNA from 1 species